UGGCUAACUCCUACGGGAGGCAGCAGUGGGGAAUUUUGGACAAUGGGGGCAACCCUGAUCCAGCAAUGCCGCGUGAGUGAUGAAGGCCUUAGGGUUGUAAAGCUCUUUUGUCCGGGACGAUAAUGACGGUACCGGAAGAAUAAGCCCCGGCUAACUUCGUGCCAGCAGCCGCGGUAAUACGAAGGGGGCUAGCGUUGCUCGGAAUCACUGGGCGUAAAGGGCGCGUAGGCGGCCGAUUAAGUCGGGGGUGAAAGCCUGUGGCUCAACCACAGAAUUGCCUUCGAUACUGGUUGGCUUGAGACCGGAAGAGGACAGCGGAACUGCGAGUGUAGAGGUGAAAUUCGUAGAUAUUCGCAAGAACACCAGUGGCGAAGGCGGCUGUCUGGUCCGGUUCUGACGCUGAGGCGCGAAAGCGUGGGGAGCAAACAGGAUUAGAUACCCCGGUAGUCCAGCUGG
rnacentral:rRNA from 1 species